AAGCUCUUCGAUGUGGUUUCUAGGAUCUUUGUGAGGAACACCCUGGAAGGGGUCUUGACCUACCCAAUCAUACCACUCUCGGCUCAGGUCAAAGUAAUUCAUCUCAGCAACAUCAAUCACACCAGGGAUCACAGGGCCCUGAGCAUUAAUCAAGUGUUCUGCGCUGUUGCGAGUGCGACCUUCUUCGUCUCUCAACAUCUCA
rnacentral:lncRNA from 1 species